GCAUUUUGGUCAUCUAUAGGCCACUCAGCUUCUUCAAAGUUGAGUAGGAUUUAAAAAAAGCCUGACAUCUCCUAUAUUCCUCAGCAACGGUUUACGUACCUGCAUAGACAGAUGAAAAAGGUGUUGGAGAUGUAUUAAAAAACAUGUAUGUAUAUGAUGGAUAGGGAGAGAGAGAGCGAGCAAGAAUAUGAUAUAGAUUAAUGUCUCUCCAUAUUUUCCGAGUCUUUUUGUUUCAGGCCAUAGCGGUGGUGCAUUGGAAGGGUUCUGGAAUUUCAGAACACAAAGUAGCAGUUUUAAAUAAUGAGAGAAGAUUCCACAUGGAACGCUCAUCUGGCUGUGGCAGCCUGUGACUGAAUGAGAGAAAAGUGCCCUAGAAGCUAUUCAUUACGAAUUCACUGGAAGCUCUCAAACGAGGCUGGCAGAAGCUGAAAUUGAAGUGGUCUCUGACCUAAUUUUCUUCUGCAUGAAACAUCUGCAUCAAGGCUCUCUUUGAUGUAUUCCACUUGGCUCUGUCUACGGGAUUGUAUCACAUGGCCUCCGUGUUGCCUCCUUAUUGAAAGACAUUUCCAGCCUGUGCAAGAUGGCCCGUCUGACACAAAUUAGAACAACCUUGAUAGCUGUCAACUGGAGAACAAAAGGACAUUAUUGCAAACCAGCACUGGAGAAAAAUGGGCCAAUUCACAGCUGCAAUUGUUGGGAGCAUUUCCUGUCUGGGAGUCUGGAAACUGCCAAGAGUGGAAAGCAGCAGCCAGCCAGCAGGGCCUCUGUUGUCAUUGGCCCAAACAACAACAAAAACAGCCACAACCACAACAACAACAACAACAAAACAUGCCACGUGUGCACAGGCGCACACAAACACGCCCACAGAACCAAACCAAACGGACAAGGCUUCAAGGAGGAGCUUCUGGGCUGCACAUUCCGGCGGCGAGGCAUAUCCCCUGGCACCGUGCCACGGCAGCCCAAUUCCCAGCGCACCCCCCCGCCAUCUGUCAUCAGCGCUCUGCCUACUAUGCAGUGUCACGGCACGGAGUUGGAGAAAGAGACAGUCCAACGGGGCACUUUGGACAGAAACAACAAAGUGGGACUUAAACAAAAAAACAGCUUUCCAAAUCUUUGACUACGCUAAAGGCUCCCUAAGGACAAGGAGGAGGAUGGCUUAUUAA
rnacentral:lncRNA from 1 species